rnacentral:rRNA from 1 species
CAGGACGAACGCUGGCGGCGUGCCUAACACAUGCAAGUCGAACGGAACGAAAAGAGCUUGCUCUUGGCGUUUAGUGGCGGACGGGUGAGUAACACGUGAGUAACCUGCCUUUCAGAGGGGAAUAAUGUCUGGAAACGGACACUAAUACCGCAUAACGUAUUUGAACCGCAUGAUUUGAAUACCAAAGGAGCAAUCCGCUGAAAGAUGGACUCGCGUCUGAUUAGCCAGUUGGCGGGGUAACGGCCCACCAAAGCGACGAUCAGUAGCCGGACUGAGAGGUUGAACGGCCACAUUGGGACUGAGACACGGCCCAGACUCCUACGGGAGGCAGCAGUGGGGGAUAUUGCACAAUGGGCGCAAGCCUGAUGCAGCAAACCGCCGCGUGCAGGAAGACGGUCUUCGGAUUGUAAACUGUUGUCCUCUGUGACGAAUCAUGACGGUAGCAGAGGAGGAAGCCACGGCUAACUACGUGCCAGCCGCCGC